CCUUCGGGAAGCGGCAGAUACCAUGCUUCCAGGAAAAGCCUCUAAGCUUCAGUCACUGACAGACCGUACCGAAAACCGACACUGGUGGGCGAGAUGAAUAUUCUCAGGCGCUUGAGAGAACUCUGGAGAAGGAACUCGGCAAAUUGACACCGUAACUUCGGGAGAAGGUGUGCCUCUAGUAGGUGAACCCGUACAGGGGGAGCCCAAUGAGGUCUCAGAAAAUCGGUGGCUGCGACUGUUUAUUAAAAACACAGCACUCUGCAAACACGAAAGUGGACGUAUAGGGUGUGACGCCUGCCCGGUGCUGGAAGGUUAAGUGAUGGGGUGCAAGCUCCUGAUCGAAGCCCCAGUAAACGGCGGCCGUAACUAUAACGGUCCUAAGGUAGCGAAAUUCCUUGUCGGGUAAGUUCCGACCUGCACGAAUGGCGUAACGCUGGCCACACUGUCUCCUCCAGAGACUCAGCGAAGUUGAAAUGGUUGUGAUGAUGCAAUCUACCCGCGGCUAGACGGAAAGACCCCGUGCACCUUUACUGUAACUUUGCAUUGGACUGUGAACCGAUCUGUGUAGGAUAGCUGGGAGGCUUUGAAGUGGGGGCGCUAGCUCUCAUGGAGCCAACGUUGAAAUACCAGCCUGAUUGUUUUGCGGUUCUAACCUAGGCUCGUCAUCCGGGCCGGGGAUCGUGCAUGGUAGGCAGUUUGACUGGGGCGGUCUCCUCCCAAAGAGUAACGGAGGAGUACGAAGGUACGCUUACCACGGUCGGAAAUCGUGGCUUAAUGUGCAUUGGCAAAAGCGUGCUUGACUGCGAGACGUACAUGUCGAGCAGGUGCGAAAGCAGGUCAAAGUGAUCCGGUGGUUCUGUAUGGAAGGGCCAUCGCUCAACGGAUAAAAGGUACGCCGGGAUAACAGGCUGAUUCCUCCCAAGAGUUCAUAUCGACGGGGGAGUUUGGCACCUCGAUGUCGGCUCAUCACAUCCUGGGGCUGUAGCCGGUCCCAAGGGUAUGGCUGUUCCCAUUUAAAGUGGUACGUGAGCUGGGUUUAAAACGUCGUGAGACAGUUUGGUCCCUAUCUACCGUGGGCGUUGGAAGUUUGAGGGGGGCUGCUCCUAGUACGAGAGGACCGGAGUGGACGCAUCCCUGGUGUACCGAUUGUCACGCCAGUGGCAUUGUCGGGUAGCUAUAUGCGGAAGGGAUAACCGCUGAAAGCAUCUAAGCGGGAAACCUGCCCCAAGAUGAGACUUCCCGGAGGCUUGACCUCCCUAAAGGGUCGUCCUAGACCAGGACGUUGAUAGGCUGGGUGUGCAAGGGCUGCGAGGCCUUCAGCUAACCAGUACUAAUUGCCCGUGUGGCUUGACCC
rnacentral:rRNA from 1 species